AGGUAAGCGGCUUAGUGGUAGAGCACUUGCCUAGAAUGCACGAAGACCUGGGUGUGAUUCCCAGCACUCCGA
rnacentral:tRNA from 1 species